UUAACGCAUCAUCACUCUGUCAGAGAUAACAAUAUGAAAAACAGCUGUCACUAUUAAUCUUUGCACUGGACUAUACUAUUGCUGGCUAUUGUAGAUAUUGAAAUUUGUUAUACUGUUUUUAUUUUGAUACCGGUAGAAGCACAACUGUACUGCUGCAACACCUAAAUUUCCCAACAGGGAUGAAUAAAGUACUUCUAUUCU